UAUGACCAUAUCAGGUUCAAACACCUCUAAUCGUUCCGAUCACCGAAGUUAAGCAACGUUGAGCCUGGUCAGUACCGAGAUGGGUGAUAGCUUGUGAAUACCGGGUUCUGUAAG